rnacentral:rRNA from 1 species
AAUGAACGCUGGCGGUGUGCCUAAUACAUGCAAGUCGAGCGACCAGACGAGGAGAUCGCUCCUUCGACGUUAGCGGCGGACGGGCGAGUAACACGUAGGUAACCUUCUAAUUUGUCUGGGAUAAUUACGGGAAGACGGUGAUACUACUGCAUCAUACUUCGUACCGCUUGAUUCGAUAGUGCAUCAUACCUUUCGUAUCUCUUAUAGCUGGACCUGCGCCGUAUUAGCUAGUUGGUAAGGUAACGGCUUACCAAGGCAACGAUACGUAGCCGACCUGAGAGGAUGAUCAGCCACACUGGAACUGAGACACGGUCCAGACUCCUACGGGAGGCAGCAGUAGGGAAUAUUCCGCAAUGGGCGAAAGCCUGACGGAGCAACGCCGCGUGAGUGAUGAAGGUCUUCGGGUCGUAAAACUCUUUUAUUGGGGAAGAACAAACGUAUAUUUAACUGUGCACGUCUUGACGGUACCUAAACAGAAAGCCACGGCUAACUUCGUG